GAACAGCUAAUUUAUGUCAUUACUUUACUCUCAUAUUUGAAAAAGUAGAUAAAGCCUCCACGCACAGAAAACCUUCAAGUCCAGAAAAGAGUUCCCCCAAGAGAACCAGAACGAUGCAGAUGCCCUAUCUCAGCCUAUCGAUUAUCAUCCUCCACUAUCUCAGCCCAUCGAUUAUCAUCCUCCACUACUUUCCUUACUGUUUCAGGGAUUCUCUCCAUCAGGUAGGAGACUAUCCCCUUCCACAAUCACCCUCUGGAAGCCAAUAUCCAGGCCCAUUUGAACUCCUUGGAGGCAUGCAAUCGCUUCUCCCGCAAAAGAAGAAGAUGUCCUUGAAAAGUGGCGUCAAAAUUGAUCUUUACAAACGACCGUUCAGGAGGCCGUCAUCUCGUCUGUUGGGCACAUCUAGCUGAUAAGUGGCUUUUGCUCCUCCAGUUCUUUUUGAUACGAUACUAUGAAUCGAACCGUAUCUAUGUUCUGUCUGAUUUUUCUUUCAUGCACUUGGUUUGUUCUUAUCAUUCCAAAUCACCCAAAUGGCACAGAUAAUUAUUCUGCAUAAAUCUGAUGAAGAAUUCAUGAAUAACCAAUCCAUCCAUUGCUUGUAACUUGCGCAAGACAUUUCUGUAGGCCAUGAGAUAUCUAACAUACUCCAAAUCUCCUUGACAGCCUGACAGUCGCGGAAGGCAUGUUCAAGAGACUCAUCUUCCUGUGUACACCUGGGACAAGCAGCAACAUUCUUUUCUAUAAAUUUAUGUAGAUAGGGAUAAAAUAUUUUUUUCUGCAAGCUAUGUAAGCCAUAUUUUUCUGUAUACCUGCUUAGAUGUUGGCUGUUGUAAGGUAGGCUCCACUUCAGCAGACUCUUCCAACAAUAACCUGUACCCAGUUCGUACCGAAUGCUCUCCACACGGCUUACCUCUCCAGACUUGUUUAUCCUCCUACCAAUGACGAGACAGGAAUAUUCAAGACUUUCCUUGCCUCAUCUACAGACAUUAUCCUACCAUCUUCCAAUCCUGGCACACAUCAUUCCAGAUUGAAAUUCGGGUUCCAGCCAACUUAAAACUUAUAAUUAAAAAAAUAACAUAUAUAGUACUUAAAAUGUAAUUAAUUGAAAGAAAGAAUUGAGAAUAUACCUAUUUAUUUUAAAUA